AGAGAGACCGGACCAGCCGCCAUGUUGAAGCUCAGGAGCUGCUGCGGGCCGAGGCUUCGGCGCUCGUGAAGCUGAGAAGUGGCGUGGUGAGAAUGGUGAGUCAGAGGAUGUAGGGGUUGAUAACCUAGAGCACUGACUGGGACUGGACGGAGACUACACUGGGGAUGGGCAGGGCCGUGGGACCGGCGAUGGCCUCGCGAGUCGGCGUGAGUUGCACAGGGCCUCACGCCUUUCCCUCAGCUUUUUACCCGGGGACCCAGGAAGUCGCUUCACUUCUGGGCGCGAAGGAAACCUUAGAUUGUUCCUAGCGGGACAAUCUGGGCAGAAGGUGUCUUUGUUGUGUUCCGGGGGCCGGGGACGGCGGGCCUCGCGCCAGGUUGGACAAGAAGCCGGCUUGCACCCGGUGAGUGGGGCUAAACCUAGGUUAAUUUUUUUGUCGUGUUGUCAUUUUUCCCCUCUAUCCCUCAUGCCCUCUUCCUCAGGUGUCUGACCUCCCCCACCCACCGCGCGCGCGCGCGUCCUUCUCUCUCCCCCUCCCUCUGUCCCUCUCUCUCCCCCCCCUCCCUUCCUCCCUCUCCCCCCUCCCCCCAUAAUAAUUUGCAAAGGGCCUCAAAGAAAUCAUUGGUAGAUAACUGAGCGUGAAGGGUUGUAUCUUUGUUCCCGAAAAUAAGAAAGUCAAGGAGCUACCAAAAGAAGUUAGUACCUAAUCUUUCUUACCCACCAGCGAAAGUAAAAGACAUUAAAAAGGGACUGCAAGUGAGCAAUCUUACUCAGGAUAAAUGCUGAAUGAACUAUGCUAAAAUACUUCGGAUACUCAGAGUUGGUAACCAUGCAUCACCAACUUACCCUUUCUUCCUUUGUUAGUAUAUAUUAACAAAAUAAUGCAAAACAAUUAUUUCGUUGUGACAUCUUAAUGCAGAUAACCUUAGUUAAUGCAUUAACCAACCCCUUCCAUUACCCACUUUGGUACCCAACCAAUUAAAGUGCAUUCAGUGUCUUCUUUGGCAUAUUUCAAAUGUAUGAUUACUUCAAGAACUUCUGAGUCCUUUUAUUUGUUCAGCAUCUCAAAUUAUCUGUUUCCCUCAGUUGCAUAACUAAAGCAGUACUGUGUGUUUGUUUUUCAGAUUCUGAAGUUCACUAUGGAAAGAUGGGAAAUUUUGCUUCCUACCUAGGGUCUAUGAAGAGUUAAAAAUGCUGAUAAGCAUAACUUGUGUUGUUUAUUCUCUUUUGCAUUUAAAUUUGAAAACUGAGUUCUGCACAGGAGAUGUAGCUCGGUGGUGAGGAUUCACCUAGCAUACUCAAGGCUCUGGUUGGAUGCCCAGCACCGGUUUGUUUGCUUCAGUGAAAAUACACGCUAUGCCUCUCUUAGAAGUUAAUAAAAUUCAACGGGUAAAUAUAUCUUCCUUUCAAAACACUAAGCACAUUGGUUUUUAAAUUGCCAAAACACAGUGGGAACAGUCAAAGGUGUAUGCAGAUGAUGGCAGUUAAAAAAAGCUUUCCAAGAUUCAUCUUACGUUGUGAAAAGAAGCCAGGAGAGUGGCAAAAGCCAUUCUUGCAUAAAUUCAACCAUCUAAAAGCAUCAGAAAUAUUGCUGUUCUUCUGCCUGGAAUGAUGGUAAGUACUAGAAAGGAAACAAAGUGCUUACCAUUUCCUUUCUGCCCUUAGGUUUAACUGUAGGGUUUAGGCUAAUGAAUCUUUAUAAGACAUUUAUAUGAGCAAUAAUCUUAGUUUGAGUUACUGUGGAAGACUGAUUUAUUGAAAGAAAAAUAACAGAUUGUUUAGAAAUAGUGUGAAAAAUGGGACCAAUAUAAUAUAAUGGAUUCUAUAAUUUGUCAUGUUAUUGAGUGCUUUGAAGUGUUUUAGCCUUAAAUAUAAUGGAUACUCAACCAUAAAUGUGUGGUAAAAAAUAAUUGGUAUAUUUUAGAAAGACUGUACAAGUUAAGUCUUGAAUAGGAAAAAAAUUUUUCAUGUUCUUUAGAAACAUAAGGCAAGAAAAGGAAAACAUUUUACCAGGGGAAAAAUGUAUUUUCAGACCUCCUCUUUUUUAAGGAAAAUGUUUCCCAUAGUGUACAUUUCCCUAAGUGGACACAGAUGGACAUACCAUUUGGAUUUGGCUACUGUGGGUUUGUUUUUUGUUUGUUUGUUUGUAACAAUCUUUUAAUUCAUUCCAGAUAAUAAGAAAACUUAUUUCUCAUAUUUUAGACAUUCUUAACUUUAAUUGACAAUAGUUAGGAAACGAAAGUCUCAGGUUAGUACCAUAGCUGUGGUAUUUGUAACAGUUUGACAUAGAUUUUGCUUCAGGAUUUACUAUCUGGCUUAAGGUAAAUGCAGCAAAUGUCUCAGGGUCAAAUUUAAAGUCUAGCUAGGCAGUAGUGGCACACACCUUAAUCCCAGCACAGGAGGCAGCUCAAGGCCAGCCUGGUCUAGAGACGAAAUUCCAGGAUGGCCGGGCUACACAGAGAAACCUUGCCUCUAAACUUAAAUAAAUAAAAGUCUAAAUGACUUCAAAUUAUUUUACCUAGAAAAGCAUCUACCACCUUUUUUCUCUUUUACCAUCUUAUUUCUCAGAUUUUAACAGGUUUGGACAAUUAAAGGGACACAUAGAACAUGUCUUUGCAAGAAGAUAUGCUGAUAAACCUUGUUGGUGAACAUAACCAUUUCAGGAAAUUUAGAUCCAAUACAGGUGUCUGGAACAUGUGGGCGUGGCUGUAUCUAGUGGACCUGGUACAUGCAUACUACAAGCUUGCCAAAAACACGGAGAAAGAAGAGCAAUAUUAGAGUAUAUUCAAUUCAAGGAGCAUCAUGGAGACAGUACAUGGCAAUACUCUGCUCAGUAAAUAAGCUCGGAGUUGUUUCUAAUGUAAGAAUAUCUUAGCAUCCUAAGGUUAUAUUCUCAACAGAAAACAAAUAUUGACAUAUUUAGCUAUGAUUUUCAGUACUUGAUACAGGAAUUACCAUAGUUUUGAAAUUUAAGCUCAAAUCCAGGCCAUGCAGGUAACUGAGCAGGUAAACCUGAGUUUGAAUCCCAGAACCCACUGUACAAGGACCUCAUGAAAGUUGUCCUCUGACCAUGUGUCUGCCAACCUGAACUCACGCACAUAUACAUUAUACACUAACAAUUAAAAACAAGUCUGCCUGGCAGUAUCUGUUAACAAGGAAAGGAGGUGAGAAUACAACUGAUUGGUUCAACCUAAAGUCCACUACUCAAUCAGGAGGACACAAAAAGAAAAUUGCAUUCUUGAGUAUUUCCACUCUCUGCAUAUAACCCAAAGAGGUGCAGCAACAAUUGUCAAACAGACCUGGUGACAAAAGGCAUACCAUCUGCAUGGUUUCAUAAACAGCAGGACUUGGGAAGUUGGGGGCUUAGAGCUAACUUAUAGAUACCAAACCCAUGUCUCAGAAAAUAAAUCCUGGUUGCUGGGAUUAAAGUGUAAUCAUCCAACUCUACUCCAAGAAAAAUAGUUGCAAAAUUUUUGGAGCUUGUGCUUAUACCUCACAAUUCAACAGUUCUUAAUCCCUCCAUACACAAAUAUGUUUUCAUAUGCUUGUCCUGAAGGAAAAGCAAUUUAGGCAGAAACAUUCUUUGGACAAGAAAAAUAAUAAAGGUGAAGAAUGAUUCCCAAGCCCCUCUGAUCCACAAAGGUAGCCCUAGAUCAGUGUCUGAUUUUCGACUGAAAAUAAGUACCAAGCCAGGCAAUGGUCAUGCAUGACUUUAAUCCCAGCACUUGGGAGGCAGAGGCAAGCAGAUCUCAGUGAGCUUGAGACCAGCCUCGUCUACAGAGCUAGUUCCAGGACAGCCAGGGCUGUUACACAGAGAAAUGCUGUCUCAAAAACAAAGUGAGUACCUGACACUAAAGCCUGACCCUGUCAGUACUGAUACAAUUUGCUGUGAGUGGUCCUUAGUGACAAAAACAUGUAUAUCUAUAAUGCCCAGUGCUCAGGCCGGUGAGCACAUUGUAGUGCACACAUGGACACUGUUACUGUAAACUCCAAGAGCUUGGGCUGGAGAGAUGGCUUAGAGGUUAAGAACACUGGCUGCUCUUGAGUUCAAUUCCCAACAACCACAUGGUGGCUCACUCCAAGAACUUGAAUGCUGCAUUGAUACUGAUCCUAAGCACAUAGAAGAAAGGACAUGUGACCAAUUAUUUCCCUUUCAGAGCAGUUACCUACUUGGGUCAUAUGGUACAGUAAAUACAGUGGAUAAGUCACAAUCUCAAAAUAAUGACUUUGAGACACGGUUUUACAUUGUAGCCCAGGUUGGCCUCAAACUUGGCGAUCCAAUCCGUUUGCCCCUGAAUUCUAGUAAUUUUUUUUUAAUGAGCGUUUACAUUUUAUGUGUAUGUAGGCUGGAGGAUAUGUGUGUAAGUGCUGAUGUUGGAGGAGGCCAAAGCUCUCCCUGGAAGUUAAGGUACUAUGAGAUACCUAACUUGCGUGCUGGAACCCAAACUCCUGCCCACUGCUAGAGCAGCGUUGUUUGUUGUUUUUUUUUUCGAGACAGGGUUUCUCUGUAGCUUUGGAGCCUGUCCUGGAACUCACUGGGUAGCCCAGGCUGGCCUCAAA